GCCUAAAGAGAAGCUUGCGGCUGAUUAGCUUGUUGGUGAGGUAAUAGCUCACCAAGGCGACGAUCAGUAUCUGGUUUGAGAGGACGAUCAGACACACUGGAACUGAGACACGGUCCAGACUCCUACGGGAGGCAGCAGUAGGGAAUUUUCCGCAAUGGGCGAAAGCCUGACGGAGCAAUACCGCGUGAGGGAUGACGGCCUAUGGGUUGCAAACCUCUUUUUUCAGGGAGGAAUAAAUGACGUGUACCUGAAGAAUAAGCAUCGGCUAACUCCGUGCCAGCAGCCGCGGUAAGACGGAGGAUGCAAGUGUUAUCCGGAAUCACUGGGCGUAAAGCGUCUGUUGGUGGUCCAAUAAGUCAACUGUUAAAUCUUGAGGCUCAACCUCAAAACCGCAGUCGAAACUAUUAGACUAGAGUAUAGUAGGGGUAAAGGGAAUUUCCAGUGGAGCGGUGAAAUGCGUAGAUAUUG
rnacentral:rRNA from 1 species